AGUGAACGCUGGCGGUAGGCCUAACACAUGCAAGUCGAACGGCAGCACAGUAAGAGCUUGCUCUUACGGGUGGCGAGUGGCGGACGGGUGAGGAAUACAUCGGAAUCUACUUUUUCGUGGGGGAUAACGCAGGGAAACUUACGCUAAUACCGCAUACGGCCUACGGGUGAAAGCAGUGGAUCUUCGGACCUUGCGCGAUUGAAUGAGCCGAUGUCGGAUUAGCUAGUUGGCGGGGUAAAGGCCCACCAAGGCGACGAUCCGUAGCUGGUCUGAGAGGAUGAUCAGCCACAGUGGAACUGAGAGACGGGCCAGACUCGUACGGGAGGCAGCAGUGGGGAAUAUUGGACAAGGGGCGCAAGCCUGAUCCAGCCAUACCGGGUGGGUGAAGAAGGCCUUCGGGUUGUAAAGCCAUUUUGUUGGGAAAGAAAAGCAGCAGGUUAAUACCCCGCUGUUCUGACGGUACACAAAGAAUAAGCACCGGCUAACUUCGU
rnacentral:rRNA from 1 species